rnacentral:miRNA from 1 species
UGUGACGAGUUCCGACGACCUUG